ensembl:snRNA U6 U6 spliceosomal RNA
AUCACAUUGGGUGCUCACUACUAAAAUUGGAACGAUACAGAGAAGAUUAGCAUGGCCCCU